rnacentral:rRNA from 1 species
CUGCUGCCUCCCGUAGGUGUCUGGACCGUGUCUCAGUUCCAGUGUGGCCGGACAUCCUCUCAGACCGGCUACCCGUCAUCGCCUUGGUGAGCCGUUACCUCACCAACUAACUAAUAGGCCGCGAGCCCAUCCCCAAGCGCAUUGCUGCUUUAAUCUUUCGAUACUAUGCGGUAUUAAUCCCAGUUUCCCAGGGCUAUCCCGCUCUCGGGGGCAGGUUACUCACGUGUUACUCACCCGUGCGCCA